ensembl:lncRNA SAP30BP-AS1 SAP30BP antisense RNA 1
CACUGGGUAAGCCAACAGUGAAGACCAAGAAGGAAAAGCACCCCUCCAGGAAUGAUUCUCUAGCAGCCUAGAGACUUCCUGGGGACUCACAGAAAAAAUGCUACCAAAUCCUGAACUCUACCCAGCUCUUCUCCCUUCCUGGGGGAACAACCAUGUGGACUUCCAAUAAGAACACGAGCUUAAAGAACGAGUUAUUCCUUCUGACCCAAGUAAAGCACAUGGCCCAUUUCCUGUUCACCAGAGAACUUCAUUAGAGGGAAACUGCAGACAUAGCAUUCAAUUAUAAAAACCUAUUCAGAUUU